rnacentral:tRNA from 1 species
GGCACGGUGGCUCAAUGGUUUGAGCGCCCGCCUCAUGAACGGGAGGUCGUGGGUUCGAACCCCGGACGAGUCA